rnacentral:lncRNA from 7 species
AAAUCGACGUGUGUGCCUUUGUUUUUCUUUUUUUCCUUUCGAUUACUUGAUGAUGCACUCGCAUAAAACUCUUUUUAAGCACGUCUCGGAGACAGAGCUACCAGAUUUUUUUUCACUUAAGAGGCUCUGACAAAAAUACUUAAUGUAUUAUACUAUUUAUUAAUCAGGUGUAAGAAAACUAUGCAAGCUAGGAAUCUGCAUUACUCACUCCACCUCAUGCCUCAUGGUAUUUGUGUCGAUCACUUUUAUUUUUUUAGUACAUCUAUAAAUAUAUCAACAAUAUUUUUAUCUCUAUGUAAUUUUAUUGUAAAAGUAGACUUAAUGAUCUAUCUAACGAUAUUUUAUAUACUAUAAAUACUAUUAUUUUAUAUAUAUUUGGUUAAAGUAAAAAAUAUUUAGCUUCUCAGUCUCAGAAAACAAUAACGGCACUUGUUGUGGGACUGACCGACGACGGAGUAGUACAGUAUAUUCUCAUGUUUAAUAGAUAGAUACAGUAGCUGUUACUGCUACACAUGAGUACACAGUAUAUUCUCAUCUCAUGUUUAAUAAUAAGAGA